rnacentral:misc_RNA from 1 species
AACGCACAUUGCGCCCGCUAGUAUUCUGGCGGGCAUGCCUGUUCGAGCGUCAUUUCAACCAUCAAGCCCCCGGCUUGCGUUGGAGCCCUGCGGCUGCCGCAGGCUCCCAAAUCCAGUGGCGGGCUCGUCGUCGUACCGAGUGCAGUAAACAUCCUCGCUCAGGGAACGCGUCGGGUUCUUGCCGUGAAACCCCCCCUCACAUCAAGGUUGACCUCGGAUCAGGUAGGAAUACCCGCUGAACUUAA